UACGUGAGGGGCGAACGUUGUUCGGUGUCACUGGGCUUAAAGGGCGCGUAGGCGGCUUUGCAAGUAAGGUGUGAAAUCCCCCGGCUUACCCGGGGAACUGCAUCUUAAACUGCAUGGCUUGAGGACCAGAGAGGUGGGAGGAACUCCAGGUGUAGCGGUGAAAUGCGUAGAUAUCUGGGGGAAGGCCGGAGGCGAAGGCGUCCCACUGGCUGGUUCCUGACGCUGAGGCGCGAAAGCGUGGGGAGCAAACAGG
rnacentral:rRNA from 1 species